rnacentral:tRNA from 1 species
GGCGCUGGUUUAAGGCACCAGUCUCUUCGGAGGCGUGGGUUCGAAUCCCACUCUCGUCA